GUUUGCACUUGUCGGGGAAGGGUGAGAACCUUCGAUUAAGGUUCGACUCGAGCGAAAGAACGUUGCCAACGGUAACGG
rnacentral:sRNA from 1 species